UACGUAGGGUGCAAGCGUUGUCCGGAAUUACUGGGCGUAAAGGGCUCGUAGGUGGCCAACUAAGUCAGACGUGAAAUCCCCAGGCUCAACUUGGGAACUGCGUCUGAUACUGGAUGGCUUGAAUUCGGGAGAGGGAUGCAGAAUUCCAGGUGUAGCGGUGAAAUGCGUAGAUAUCUGGAGGAAUACCGGUGGCGAAGGCGGCAUCCUGGACCGAGAUUGACACUGAUGAGCGAAAGCCAGGGGAGCAAACGGG
rnacentral:rRNA from 1 species